rnacentral:lncRNA from 1 species
AGACUAAUACUCCAUACUUUUAUUUAUAACCAUAACAAUAUGGCACCAUAAUACAAAGUUCAUCUCACAAUAAUAAAACAUACUUAUACUCAGCAAGACAUAUAUACUUACAAAGAGGCAUCAUCUUACCCAUAAUAAUGUAAAAACACUCUCAAAGUCGGCACAAUAAAACACUCUUAUAUUCACACAAUAAAAUACACACUCUUAUUUUAUAAUAGAUAUUUAUAAAUAAAACACAAGUUAGCACGACUACAAUAUCACAUAUUAUGGAAGAAGAUCGCUUUGAGAUUUACGAGCAACCAAGUUUGUGCGACCGACAACCGAACAAAACUUACUAUAAGCAGGCCAAAGGUGAGGAGCAUUCAAGCACAUUACACGCAAAAUCAUACAAUCUAUACAUCUCCAAGACUUUUGAGAUUUAAAAUUACCAUCAUCUUUCUUUGGUUGAUUCUCUCUUUCUACACCCUUAACACUAUAACCAUUGAAAAAUAUUGUUACAAGAAGGAGAUCUAGAACAAGUGAAGCAGUGGAUUUUCUCAUACUGUAUAUAAGAAUGGGUAUUUUAGUUUCUAUUGUUU